rnacentral:rRNA from 1 species
UACGUAGGGUGCGAGCGUUUGUCCGGAAUUACUGGGCGUAAAGAGCUCGUAGGUGGUUUGUCGCGUUGUCCGUGAAAACUCACAACUCAAUUGUGGGCGUGCGGGCGAUACGGGCAGACUGGAGUACUGCAGGGGAGACUGGAAUUCCUGGUGUAGCGGUGGAAUGCGCAGAUAUCAGGAGGAACACCGAUGGCGAAGGCAGAUCUCUGGGCCGUAACUGACGCUGAGGAGCGAAAGCAUGGGGAGCGAACAGG